rnacentral:rRNA from 1 species
CUGGCUCAGGAUGAACGCUAGCGAUAGGCUUAAACAUGCAAGUCGAGGGCAGCGAGAUGUAGCAAUACGGUCGUCGGCGACCGGCGAAUGGGUGAGUAACACGUAUGCAACUUACCUCUUAGUGGUGAAUAACCGAUGAAAGUCGGACUAAUACACCAUAUACCCUUAGAUCCCAUGAGAAGAGAGGAAAGAUUAAUCGCUAAGAGC